GCUUGCUUCAGCAGCACAUACUAAAAUUGGAAUGAUGCAGAGAAGAUCAGCAUGGCCCUUGCACAAGAAUGACACCCAAAUUCAUGAAGCGUUCCAUAUUAAA